CUGUUGGCAUAUGGAAGUUCCCAGACUAGGGUUGAAUGAGAACUACAGCUGCUGAUCCUUGACCCACUGGAGUGAGGCUAGGUAUCGAACCCACAUCCUCAUGGAUACUAGUCAGAUUCAUUUCUGCUGCGCCACAACAAGAACACCUUUUUUUUUUUUUCCUAAAUCUCCAUUUUCUUUCCCAUUUUUGUGUCUUUCAAUUUUUUCUUUUUCUUAACUGAGAUCUUCAGUUUUCUUUUUCUGUCUCUGGGCUGGUGUGGCCAUCCUGACCACUAGUCCAGAAUCUGUUGGACUUUCUGAUCUAGUAUCCAUCAACUGUUGACUACAGACUCUGAAUAGCUUUGUUCAAACUCUCCAUGAUGAUAAUUUGAUUGAUUGCUGGUCAGCCAGUGCGUUGACACCUUGGGUCAGAUUUCCUCUGAAGGUACAAUGAAGCUUGUGGUCAGGGUGUUGACUUCCAGUAUCAAAUAAAUACCAUUUUUCCUCCUACUUGAAAUCUCAAAUUGUUUAGUUCCAUCAUCCCCGAUCCUCCGGCUUUAGACUCAAGGACUUUAGUGAAAUGCUUUCCUUGUCUAAAAUCCGAAAGGUCUGUCACUUAAUAUGUUCAGGCUUCUUAAAAGUUCUGCGGACCUUUCAAAGGGAUGUUUUGAAAGCUUCUAGACAAAGAUAAUUGUGUCAAAAGGGAAACAGCUGUCUCUGUAUUUGCACAGGAGAAGAAAAUUAAACAAAUAGCAAAGACGAGACUCACGUAUAAUUAAAAUUGGAUUAUUGCAGCAUUUGACUCACCAGCCGGGAGCUCAAUUCCUCUAUGUCUGCAUCCAGUCAUUUACCAUUCUUUCAUUCUCACACUGCAUUCCCAUCUUUCAUUCAGUAUUUCCCUUUAAUUUCACUGGAAUGCUUUUCUCCCUGCCUCAUAGCAUAUUGCUCCAUCUUUAUACUUCAUCACCAUUCCUUUCUUCCAAAUUCUUUUGUUCUUUUGCUUUUUGUUUGAUUUGUCUAUUUGGGUUUUUUUGUUUGUUUCCCUAAGAGAAGGAAGAAUGAAAGAUAUGAUAAAAUCAUAUUACUUUCAUUUUACUUAUUUCUGGAAACAAUUAUUUUAGCUUUUUGUGUAGUGAAAUCUCAAAGAACUCAUUAAAAUCCAUUGCAGAGGCACAGUAUUAAUCUCUUGCUGUUUACACAUCAGCGAUUUUAGCCAGUUUUCCAAAUGUUUAAAGAUGUGGUCAGAAGCUGUGGUUUACCUCCCGACUUUGUUUGGGAAAACCAAACUAAAACAACCAAACUCUUUAGCCUGGGUUCAUGACCACAGAGUUUCUUCCUUGAAUCAGUAGACAUUAUUCUGUUGUGUCUUGGAUGUUAAAAAGUCACAAAGUAACUAGUUUUAAAAAUCUCUAAAUUCAUAUCAAAAAGAAAAGAUACAUGUAAAGGUGCCAGCAUUUUUACUUUCAUUAAAAUAUGAAUAUGUGCUGUACAAUAUAUCCUUAUUGUUUAUUUAUACACAGUAGUUUUUAUCUCUUAAUCCCAUAUUCCUAUCUUGUCCCUCCCCUCUCUCUUCUCCCCACUGGUAACCACUGACUUCUUUUCUAUAUCUGUGAGCCUUUUUCUGUUUUGUUAUAGAAAUUCAUUCGUUUGGAGUUCUCUUCAUGGCUCAGCAGUUAACAAAUCUGACUAGGAUCCAUGAGGAUGCAGAUUUGAUCCCUGGCCUUGCUCAGUGGGUUAAGGAUCCGGCAUUGCCCUGAGCUGUGGUGUAGGUCGCAGACGUGGCUUGGAUCUGGUGUUGCUGUGGCUCUGGUGAAGGCCGGCAGCUACAGCUCCAACUUGACCACUAGCCUGGAAACCUCCAUAUGCUGUAGGUGCAGCCCUAAAAUAGUAAGAAAAAAAAAAAAAGAAAAGAAAGAAAAGAAAUUUUAUUUAUUUAUUUAUUUAUUUAUCUUUGACUUUGCCAUUUCUAGGGCCACUCCUGCAGCAUAUGGAGGUUCCCAGGCUAGGGGUCUAAUCAGAGUUGUAGCUUUCAGCCUACACCAUAGCCACAGCAACGUGGGAUCUGAGCCACAUCUGCGACCUAUACCACAACUCACGGCAAUGCUGAAUCCUUAACCCACUGAGCAAGGCCAGGGAUCGAACCUGCAAUCUCAUGGUUCCUAGUUGGAUUUGUUAACCACUGAGCCUCAAUGGAACUCCUUGUUUUAUUUUUUAGAUUCCACAUGUGAUAACAGAGUGUUUGUCUUUCUUUGUCUGCCUUGUUUCACUAAAUGCAAUAUCCUCUAAGUCCAUCUGCAUUGCUGUUAAUAGCAAUAUACCAUUUUUUAAAUAGCUGAGUAAUAUUCCAUUGACAUAUGUACCACAUCUUUUUUUUUUUUUUUUCUUUUUUUUUUUGCUAUUUCUUGGGCCGCACCUGCGGCAUAUGGAGGUUCCCAGGCUAGGGGUCGAAUCGGAGCUGUAGCCACCAGCCUAUGCCAUAGCCACAGCAAUGCAGGAUCCGAGCCGCGGCUGCAACCCACACCACAGCUCACGGCAACGCCGGAUCGUUAACCCACUGAGCAAGGCCAGGGACCGAACCCGCAACCUCGUGGUUCCUAGUCAGAUUUGUUAACCACUGCACCACGACAGGAACUCCU
rnacentral:lncRNA from 1 species